AGUGAACGCUGGCGGUAGGCCUAACACAUGCAAGUCGAACGGCAGCACAGUAAGAGCUUGCUCUUACGGGUGGCGAGUGGCGGACGGGUGAUGAAUACAUCGGAAUCUACUUUUUCGUGGGGGAUAACGUAGGGAAACUUACGCUAAUACCGCAUACGACCUACGGGUGAAAGCAGGGGAUCUUCGGACCUUGCGCGAUUGAAUGAGCCGAUGUCGGAUUAGCUAGUUGGCGGGGUAAAGGCCCACCAAGGCGACGAUCCGUAGCUGGUCUGAGAGGAUGAUCAGCCACACUGGAACUGAGACACGGUCCAGACUCCUACGGGAGGCAGCAGUGGGGAAUAUUGGACAAUGGGCGCAAGCCUGAUCCAGCCAUACCGCGUGAGUGAAGAAGGCCUUCGGGUUGUAAAGCCCUUUUGUUGGGAAAGAAAAGCAGCAGGUUAAUACCCCGCUGUUCUGACGGUACCCAAAGAAUAAGCACCGGCUAACUUCGUG
rnacentral:rRNA from 1 species